rnacentral:rRNA from 1 species
CGACGCCGCGUGCGGGAAGAAGGCCUUCGGGUUGUAAACCGCUUUCAGGAGGGACGAAGCCACUCGGGUGAAUAGCCCAGAGGGUGACGGUACCUCCAGAAGAAGCCCCGGCUAACUACGUGCCAGCAGCCGCGGUAAUACGUAGGGGGCCAGCGUUGUCCGGAUUCAUUGGGCGUAAAGCGCGUGUAGGCGGCCAGGUAGGUCCGAUGUGAAAACUGGAGGCUCAACCUCCAGCUGUCAUUGGAAACCAUCUGGCUAGAGUCCGGAAGAGGAGAGUGGAAUUCCUGGUGUAGCGGUGAAAUGCGCAGAUAUCAGGAAGAACACCAAUGGCGAAGGCAGCUCUCUGGGACGGUACUGACGCUGAGACGCGAAAGCGUGGGGAGCGAACAGGAUUAGAUACCCUGGUAGUCCACGCCGUAAACGAUGGGCGCUAGGUGUGGGCGGUGUCGACUCCGUCCGUGCCGAAGCUAACGCAUUAAGCGCCCCGCCUGGGGAGUACGGCCGCAAGGCUA